rnacentral:rRNA from 1 species
AGAGUUUGAUCAUGGCUCAGGAUGAACGCUAGCGGCAGGCUUAACACAUGCAAGUCGAGGGCAGCAUGAUUGAACUUUCGGGUUCGAUUGAUGGCGACCGGCGCAAGGGUGCGUAACGCGGAGCAACUUGCCCGUUUCAGGGGGAUAACCGGUGGAAACGCCGACUAAUACCCCAUGGCACAUAUUGAGGCAUCUUUAUAUGAUUAAAGAAUUUCGGAAACGGAUAGGCUCGCGUGACAUAGCUAGAUGGCGGGGUAACGGCCCACCAUGGCGACGAUGUCUAGGGGUUCUGAGAGGAAGUCCCCCACACUGGAACUGAGACACGGUCCAGACUCCUACGGGAGGCAGCAGUGAGGAAUAUGGUCAAUGGCCGGGAGGCUGAACCAGCCAUGCCGCGUGAAGGUCACGGCCCUAUGGGUCUAAACUUCUUUUGUAAGGGAGCAAUAAGUUUCACGUGUGGGACGAUGAGAGUACCUUACGAUAAGCAUCGGCUAACUCCGUGCCAGCAGCCGCGGUAAUACGGGGGAUGCAAGCGUUAUCGGAUUUAUUGGGUUUAAAGGGUGCGUAGGCGGCGUCUUAAGUCAGCGGUGAAAUUUAGGGCUCAACCUCUACCGUGCCGUUGAUACUGGGAUGCUGGAAUGCGGAUGCCGUGGGAGGAAUUGUGGUGUAGCGGUGAAAUGCAUAGAUAUCACACAGAACACCGAUUGCGAAGGCAUCUCAGAAUCCGCAAUUGACGCUGAGGCACGAAAGCGUGGGGAUCAAACAGGAUUAGAUACCCUGUAGUCCACGCUGUAAACGAUGAUGACUAACUGUCGGCGAUACACAGUCGGUAGCCAAGCGAAGCGAUAAGUCAUCCACCUGGG